GAUGAACGCUGGCGGUGUGCCUAAUACAUGCAAGUCGUACGCAUUCUCGUUUCUGAUUGACGGUGCUGCACCUAAUUGACGAGACAUUGGAAUGAGUGGCGGACGGGUGAGUAACACGUGGGUAACCUGCCCAGAAGCGGGGGAUAACAUUUGGAAACAGAUGCUAAUACCGCAUAAAAGUCAAAACCACAUGGUUUUGAUUUAAAAGAUGGCCUUUGUGCUAUCACUUCUGGAUGGACCCGCGGCGUAUUAGCUAGUUGGUAAGGUAAUGGCUUACCAAGGCAAUGAUACGUAGCCGAACUGAGAGGUUGAUCGGCCACAAUGGGACUGAGACACGGCCCAUACUCCUACGGGAGGCAGCAGUAGGGAAUCCUCCACAAUGGGCGCAAGCCUGAUGGAGCAACACCGCGUGAGUGAAGAAGGGUUUCGGCUCGUAAAACUCUGUUGUUAAAGAAGAACGUAUCUAAGAGUAACUGCUUAGGUAGUGACGGUAUUUAACCAGAAAGCCACGGCUAACUACGUGCCAGCCGCCGCCGUAA
rnacentral:rRNA from 1 species